rnacentral:rRNA from 1 species
AUUGAACGCUGGCGGCAUGCUUUACACAUGCAAGUCGAACGGCAGCGCGGGCUUCGGCCUGGCUGCGCGUGUCGCACGCGUGUGUAAUGCAUCGGAACGUGCCCAGCAGUGCGGGAUAGCACGGCGAAAGCCGGAUUAAUACCGCCUACGACCUGCUGGUGCAAGCGGGGGAGCGAAAGACCUCUCGCUAUUGGAGCGGCGGAGGUCGGAUUUGCUAGCUGGUGGGGUGAAGGGUUACCAAGGCGGCGAUCCGUAGCUGGUCUGCGUGGACGACCGGCCACAUUGGAACUGGACCAGGGCCAAGACUACUAAGGGAGGCAGCAGUGGGGAAUUGUGGACAGUGGGGGCGAACCUGGUCCAGCCAGGCCGAGUGUGGGAAGAAGGCGUUGGGGUCGGAAACCGGGUUUGUUGGGGAAGAAAUGCUCUGGGCUAAGACGAAGGGGGGAUGACGGUACCGGAUGAAGAAGCACCGGCUAACUACGUG